AGUUAGCCUAAACCCGCAAGGAGGGGCAUACCACGGUGAGGAUUCAUGACUGGGGUG
rnacentral:rRNA from 1 species